rnacentral:rRNA from 1 species
GAUGAACGCUGGCGGCGUGCCUAAUACAUGCAAGUCGAGCGAACAGACGCUGAGCUUUCUCCUUUGACGUUAGCGGCUGACGGGUGUGUAACACGUACGUAACCUUCCUCUUUUUCUUGGAUUACUUCGUGAAACCGCUUCUCCUACUGCCUAAUAUUUCCUACCGCAUGGUUCUAUAGUUCUUCAUUCCUUUCCUAUCUCUUUUAGCUGUUCCGGCUCUGUAUUUGCUAGUUGGUAAGGUAACGGCUUACCAAGGCAACGAUACUUAGCUGACCUGAGAGGAGGAUCGGCCACACUGGAACUGAGACACGGACCAGACUCCUACGGGAGGCAGCAGUAGGGAAUAUUCGGCAAUGGGCGAAAGCCUGACGGAGCAAAGCCGCGUGAGUGAAGAAGGUCUUCGGAUCGUAAAACUCUGUUAUUAGGGAAGAACAAAAGUGGAAGUAAAUGUGGACGUAUUGACGGUACCAAAUGAGAAAGCAACGGCUAACUACGUG